UGAGGAAUAUUGGACAAUGGGCGCAAGCCUGAUCCAGCCAUGCCGCGUGCAGGGAGAAGCAUCUAUGGUGUGUAAACUGCUUUUGUACGGGAAGAAACACUCCUACGUGUAGGAGCUUGACGGUACCGUAAGAAUAAGGAUCGGCUAACUCCGUGCCAGCAGUCGCGGUAAUACGGAGGAUCCAAGCGUUAUCCGGAACCAUUGGGUUUAAAGGGUCCGUAGGCGGUUUAAUAAGUCAGUGGUGAAAGCCCAUCGCUCAACCAUGGAACGGCCAUUGAUACUGCUAGACUUGAAUUAUUAGGAAGUAACUAGAAUAUGUAGUGUAGCGGUGAAAUGCUUAGAUAUUACAUGGAAUACCAAUUGCGAAGGCAGGUUACUACUAAUGGAUUGACGCUGAUGGACGAAAGCGUGGGGAGCGAACA
rnacentral:rRNA from 1 species